ACUCAGCCGCCCUCGGUGUCAGCAAAUCCGGGACAAACCGUCCAGAUCACCUGCUCCGGGCUUGACAGCAGCAGCAAUGUUGGCUGGUUCCAGCAGAAGGUACCUGGCACCGUCCCUGUCACUGUGAUCUAUGACAGCAACAAGAGACCCUCGGGCAUCCCUUCACGAUUCUCUGGUUCUGCGUCUGGCCCCACACCAUCAGUGGGGUCCAAGCCGAGGACGAGGCCGUCUAUUACUGUGGUGGCUACGACAGCAGCAGUAGUGCUGUCACAGCGAAGCGGAGCGAACGUGAAGUUAUGCCAAAACCUCCUGCCAUUGCAAGCACACGUUAG